GAUGAACGCUGGCGGCGUGCCUAAUACAUGCAAGUCGAGCGAACAGACGAGGAGCUUACUCCUCUGACGUUAGCGGCGGACGGGUGAGUAACACGUGGAUAACCUACCUAUAAGACUGGGAUAACUUCGGGAAACCGGAGCUAAUACCGGAUAACAUAUUGAACCGCAUGGUUCAACAGUGAAAGACGGUCUUGCUGUCACUUAUAGAUGGAUCCGCGUCGCAUUAGCUAGUUGGUAAGGUAACGGCUUACCAAGGCAACGAUGCGUAGCCGACCUGAGAGGGUGAUCGGCCACACUGGAACUGAGACACGGUCCAGACUCCUACGGGAGGCAGCAGUAGGGAAUCUUCCGCAAUGGGCGAAAGCCUGACGGAGCAACGCCGCGUGAGUGAAGAAGGUCUUCGGAUCGUAAAACUCUGUUAUUAGGGAAGAACAAAUGUGUAAGUAACUAUGCACGUCUUGACGGUACCUAAUCAGAAAGCCACGGCUAACUACGUG
rnacentral:rRNA from 1 species